UACACUCCUGCGGGAGGCAGCAGUGGGGAAUAUUGGACAAUGGGCGCAAGCCUGAUCCAGCCAUGCCGCGUGAGUGAUGAAGGCCCUAGGGUUGUAAAGCUCUUUCACCGGUGAAGAUAAUGACGGUAACCGGAGAAGAAGCCCCGGCUAACUUCGUGCCAGCAGCCGCGGUAAUACGAAGGGGGCUAGCGUUGUUCGGAUUUACUGGGCGUAAAGCGCACGUAGGCGGACUAUUAAGUCAGGGGUGAAAUCCCGGGGCUCAACCCCGGAACUGCCUUUGAUACUGGUAGUCUUGAGUUCGAGAGAGGUGAGUGGAAUUCCGAGUGUAGAGGUGAAAUUCGUAGAUAUUCGGAGGAACACCAGUGGCGAAGGCGGCUCACUGGCUCGAUACUGACGCUGAGGUGCGAAAGCGUGGGGAGCAAACAGGAUUAGAAACCCCUGUAGUCCC
rnacentral:rRNA from 1 species